rnacentral:rRNA from 1 species
UACAGAGGUCCCAAGCGUUGUUCGGAUUCAUUGGGCGUAAAGGGUGCGUAGGCGGCGAGCUAAGUUUGGUGUGAAAUCCUGGGGCUUAACCUCAGAAUUGCACUGAAUACUGGUUUGCUAGAGGACUGGAGAGGAGAUUGGAAUUCACGGUGUAGCAGUGAAAUGCGUAGAUAUCGUGAGGAAGACCAGUGGCGAAAGCGAAUCUCUGGACAGAUCCCGACGCUGAUGCACGAAGGCUAGGGGAGCAAACGGG